CAAUAUAUUUGCAUGUUUUCAAAAACACCAUUACCAACAGCAUUCAGCAUUCAGCAUUCAGCAACAAAAAUUAUCAUUCAGCAACAAACAGGGCAUUCAACAACAAAAA